UACGAAGGGUGCAAGCGUUACUCGGAAUUACUGGGCGUAAAGCGUGCGUAGGUGGUUGUUUAAGUCUGUCGUGAAAGCCCUGGGCUCAACCUGGGAAUUGCGAUGGAAACUGGGCGACUAGAGUGUGGCAGAGGGUAGUGGAAUUCCUGGUGUAGCAGUGAAAUGCGUAGAGAUCAGGAGGAACAUCCGUAGCGAAGGCGACUGCCUGGGCCAACACUGACACUGAGGCACGAAAGCGUGGGGAGCAAACAGG
rnacentral:rRNA from 1 species